GGCUUUCUCUACAUUUUCCUUUAUUUCUUUGAGCAUAUUUAUGACAGUUAUUGUAAAGCAUUUCUCUAACAGACCUGCAGACCUGCAAUCAAUCCAUUUUCAGGGACAGUUUCUACUUGCUAUGGAGGAACUGUCUACUAUGGUUUUAAAAAAGGAACUGUACUACUACAUUUUUUAGAAUGAGAUUUAAUUGAAGAAAAGACGAGUAAUCAAAACAAAUGAAGACUGCUGAAGGACAUCUGAGUUGUUUCUGCCUUUUGACUAUUGUAAAUAAUGUUACAUGAACUUGGUGUGUGUACAUACUUGUUUAAAUCUUUGUUAUGUAGCUGGAAGUGGGAUUUUUGGGUGGUAUGAAAUUUAUGAGUAAUUCUAUGUUUAAUCCUUGAGAAACCAUCACUGUUUUGGUUUUUUGUUUUGUUGUGGUUUUUUGCUUGGGUUUUUUUUUUUCCUUGGUACCAAGGGGAUCAAACUUGGGACCCUGCACUUGCAAGGCAGCCAGUGGCACCACUGAGCUAAAUCCCUGGCACUAACAUUGUUUUUUAUGGAUGAUGUUUUCAACUGCGAAAUUUGAGGGAAUUUGUUACACAAAAUUAAAAGACAAAUACACAUUUUUAUCUGAUUGGCUUUUAAUUUACAUUCAUAUCACUAAAUAACAUGCUGUAAAGAAUGUAAUUGCUAUUCCUUGCCUUAUUUGAAAUAUAGUAGGGAGUGCUCAGCGACUUCCCAACACAGCAAGUGUAGUUUAGUCCUCUUCAUUUCCCACCAACACCAUACCCAAAUGCAGCCAAGAACAGCCUUCUCAUCGCUAUCCUUCCAGGACUUUUAUGUCCUAAUUUUGGUUAAAUAACUAAUUAAUGUAUCCACGUCUAUAUCCACA
rnacentral:lncRNA from 1 species